ACAACCCAAAUUUCUUGGUAAUUAACUAAGUUUAAUUAAAUAUAAAUUAGUCUUUAUUAAAUAUAUAUAUCUUGUUAAACAAAAUAUUAAAUAUAUGUGUGUUUUGAAUAGAUGCUUCCCUUUGGUUAUUUUGAGAGCAGUUAGAGUUGUGGGGUCCACUCUUUGAUCCUUAUCAACAUUCAAAAUGCAUCCAAAAAGGCCUCCUGUAGAAGUUUUCGGUGCAGAAAUUCAUCCCUGAGAGAGAGUUCGGAACUUCACUCUCCCGACUGUAGCAAAUGUCGCUGAUUUGUGAAGAAAGAAUCGCAGAAAUCACUGUAGCAUAGUUCGCUACAGUGACGCGGGUCCUGUAGUUCAAUUCGGUAUGGAGUAUUUGCACUGCAGUAAUGUUCGGUUGCAGCAGAAUUCGGCUAGUGAAGACUGAAGAGAAAAUUUCUGCACUCUGUAGAAAAACUGUGGUUCAUUGUAGAAGGAUUUUCUGAAGAACAAUUCAACAGUUCCGUAAACCUUGGAAGGAUUUGGAAGAGUAAGAAUAAAAA